GACGGAGGGUGCAAGCGUUGUUCGGAUUGACUGGGCGUAAAGGGCGUGUAGGCGGUCGGCCAAGUCUGAUGUGAAAGCCCGAGGCUCAGCCUCGGAAGUGCGUCGGAAACUAGUCGGCUGGAGCGCGAUAGAGGAGGGUGGAAUUCCUGGUGUAGCGGUGAAAUGCGUAGAUAUCAGGAGGAACACCGGCGGCGAAGGCGGCCCUCUGGAUCGUUGCUGACGUUGAGACGCGAAAGCGUGGGGAGCAAACAGG
rnacentral:rRNA from 1 species